rnacentral:rRNA from 1 species
AACGCGAAGAACCUUACCUGGGCUCGAACGGCUUAAGACCAUCUUUGGAAACAGAGACUUCCCGCAAGGGACUUGAGUCGAGGUGCUGCAUGGCUGUCGUCAGCUCGUGUCGUGAGAUGUUGGGUUAAGUCCCGCAACGAGCGCAACCCUUAUUACCAGUUGCUACCAUUUAGUUGAGCACUCUGGUGAGACCGCCUCGGAUAACGGGGAGGAAGGCGGGGAUGACGUCAAGUCCUCAUGGCCUUUAUGUCCAGGGCUACACACGUGCUACAAUGGUCGGUACAAACCGUCGCAAACCCGCGAGGGGGAGCUAAUCGGAAAAAGCCGACCUCAGUUCGGAUUAGAGUCUGCAACUCGACUCUAUGAAGCUGGAAUCGCUAGUAAUCGCGGAUCAGAAUGCCGCGGUGAAUACGUUCCCGGGCCUUGUACACACCGCGCAUA